CCUACGGGUGGCAGCAGUGGGGAAUAUUGGACAAUGGGGGGAACCCUGAUCCAGCGAAGCCGCGUGAGUGAAGAAGUAUUUCGGUAUGUAAAACUCUAUCAGCAGGGAAGAAAGGAAUGACGGUACCUGACUAAGAAGCCCCAGCUAACUACGUGCCAGCAGCCGCGGUAAUACGUAGGGGGCAAGCGUUAUCCGGAUUUACUGGGUGUAAAGGGAGCGUAGGCGGCGAUGCAAGUCUGAAGUGAAAGGCUGGGGCGCAACCGCAGGAUUGCUUUGGAAACUGGAUGGCUGGAGUGCAGGAGAGGUAAGUGGAAUUCGUAGUGUAGCGGUGAAAUGCGUAGAUAUUAGGAGGAACACCAGUGGCGAAGGCGGCUCACUGGACUGUAACUGACGUUGAGGCUCGAAAGUGUGGGGAGCAAACAGGAUUAGAUACCCUAGUAGUC
rnacentral:rRNA from 1 species